rnacentral:rRNA from 1 species
UCCUACGGGAGGCAGCAGUGGGGGAUAUUGCACAAUGGGGGAAACCCUGAUGCAGCGACGCCGCGUGGAGGAAGAAGGUUUUCGGAUUGUAAACUCCUGUCGUUAGGGACGAUAAUGACGGUACCUAACAAGAAAGCACCGGCUAACUACGUGCCAGCAGCCGCGGUAAAACGUAGGGUGCAAGCGUUGUCCGGAAUUACUGGGUGUAAAGGGAGCGCAGGCGGACCGGCAAGUUGGAAGUGAAAACUAUGGGCUCAACCCAUAAAUUGCUUUCAAAACUGCUGGCCUUGAGUAGUGCAGAGGUAGGUGGAAUUCCCGGUGUAGCGGUGGAAUGCGUAGAUAUCGGGAGGAACACCAGUGGCGAAGGCGACCUACUGGGCACCAACUGACGCUGAGGCUCGAAAGCAUGGGUAGCAAACAGGAUUAGAUACCCUGGUAGUCCAUGCCGUAAACGAUGAUUACUAGGUGUUGGAGGAUUGACCCCUUCAGUGCCGCAGUUAACACAAUAAGUAAUCCACCA